rnacentral:rRNA from 1 species
UUACCUACCCUUGACAUGCCAGGAAUCUUGCAGAGAUGUGAGAGUGCUCGAAAGAGAACCUGGACACAGGUGCUGCAUGGCCGUCGUCAGCUCGUGUCGUGAGAUGUUGGGUUAAGUCCCGCAACGAGCGCAACCCUUGUCAUUAGUUGCUACGAAAGGGCACUCUAAUGAGACUGCCGGUGACAAACCGGAGGAAGGUGGGGAUGACGUCAGGUCAUCAUGGCCCUUAUGGGUAGGGCUACACACGUCAUACAAUGGCCGGGACAGAGGGCUGCCAACCCGCGAGGGGGAGCUAAUCCCAGAAACCCGGUCGUAGUCCGGAUCGCAGUCUGCAACUCGACUGCGUGAAGUCGGAAUCGCUAGUAAUCGCGGAUCAGCUUGCCGCGGUGAAUACGUUCCCGGGUCUUGUACACACCGCCCGUCACACCAUGGGAGCGGGUUCUGCCA